CGUGGGGCCGCAUCGCAGCGCCGUGUGGGGACUGUGGCGGGCCGUGCGUGCUCUCUGAGCGUGUAAAUCUUUACCAGUCGUGUCAGAAGUCAUUCGUCUUCCCAAGAUGAUAUUCAAAGGAUUUGGAAGGUCUGAAUAGUGUACCACCCUCCUGCCCUUCAAACUGCACAUCAGUCUGCUGCUCUCUGUGCCACCCGUGAGUUUGUAGAGGAGGGAAGAGGAGCACUGAGGAGAGGGAAAAUUCCAAGUCCCAUGGUGGCAGCUGCACUGUCUUGCUGGUUAGAGAGCUGCUGUGGGAGGGAAAAGCACGAUUCUGCUUAGCAGCCAUUUCACCAGGAAUUUGGGGAUUGAACACAACAGAGGACCCUGAAGAGGCUAAAGCUGCUCUCUCUCCCAAGCAGAGCAUAUAAAAAUACUGCAGGAGGACUGAGCCCAGUGGUUGCUGCAGCCAAAUGAAGGCUGUGGUCCAGGGAGUUAACUGCUUGACAGAAAUCAUCCAGAUGAGUGGACAGAGCAGAAAAUCCAAUGAUUCGGACUUACGUGUGGCAAUAGCUGGUGUGGUGCAAUUAAUUCCCCAUUGGUUAGCAGUCACAGCUUGUGCCUGCAUCUCCCCGCCUCUCCUAUCAGGUGUUUCUCCUCUUCACCUGAGCUUACUGAACAGUUGGUUCCAUUUAUUGUCUCCUGCAGCACUGAACCUUUCCUUCAAAAUAGUGCUUUGUACCUAGAAUCCAUCUAUGGAUCAAUGUAAACUAAUUUCUUUGUUUCUGUGAUCUAAAUAAAUGCUUUCAUAAUUUAGUAACAGGGAGCAUCUAACAGCUGGGAGGGGAAAAAUAAAGGGUGGUGUAACAGAAAGUAGUGUAAGGCAAUGAAAUAUUGAAGCUGAUCAAUAAAAGGUGGGUGAGCAGUUAAAGACAGGAGGUAGAGAAGGAACUAGAGGCUUCGAGCACUGGAUCAGAAGCACAGUGUGACUGCUGGAAGUUGUUCUGUGCCUUUCCAUACAAAUCCUAAAGGAAAUGAUGGGUUUAUAGGAACCUUCAUCUGGAAAUUAAUUUCACCUUAAAACUGAAGGUUUCAGGUUCUCAAAAAUAUUUCUCUCCUCCAUAGCUAGCUUGGUUCCCAGAAAAGGCUGGGUGUGGCUGAGGCUGCUUGUUUUGAGACAAAGCAUCCCAAGAGCAGAGCCAUGGGCUGUGUGGCACAACGGGGUUUGGAUGCUUAUGGCUGUCCAGGCAUCACUGCACGCCAGAGCUUCAGCUGGCUUCUCGUGGGAUAAAUCCACUGCCAAAAUGGCUCUUGUCAUUCUUGCCCAGUGUGACGGCAAGGGGCCGUGGCCAGCAUCUUUGUGCUGGCACUUAUUGUUCUCGGGGAGGGACUGGGCUGAAACCCACAGCAGUGUCUGUAUGAGGGCAGACAGUAUGAGCUGAUAGCAUGAGCUGAUAGCAGGAGUUUGGCAUAGUGUGACUUUAGCAGAUCUUGCUCACAAGUUUGACAAAUACUCAACUGAGUCUCGUCAAGAUUGUGGGGGGGUACACCUUAAUUCUUCAUGUACCUUGUUUGCUGGAUUUGUGGGAGUAUGUAUGCACACUGAUGUACAAGGAGCGCGGGUCCUGUUUUACCUGUGCUGUUCCAUUUGUUCAUGCACAAGCUUUUAAAAUGGGUGUCAUCUUGAUCAGAACCAAGAAUAGAAGGCUGUCUGCGUGCUCCUGUCUUAUGAUAUCUUAAUGCACUUUUUAACAUGCUGUGUAGGUUCCUGGGUUUAAUUUGGAAUUACAUAGAACAUGGUAGAACAGUCUUGUUCCAGACACCAGUAUCAUUCACCUGCCUGAAAAUUUCUUCCUAACAGCCUUGAAUGUAUUUCUGAACGGUGAGUCUGUGUAGUGGUGGGAGGCAUUUGAGCAGGCUCAUGAUGGAGCUGCCCAGAAACACUACCAAAUUAUUUGCUCCACAUAGCUUUGAUUUUGCAUCCAACAACAGUAAUGAUAGGGAACUGUAAUUUGCAUUAAUUUCCUACGUGUUUAGUGUGUUUAAAAGUUUGCUCUGCAGAAAAGCAGCAUCAAUCUUUUUAUGCAGUUAUGGAUCCUGGCUGCUUCAAUGCAAGGUACCCAGUGAUCUCUUUGUGUAUUUCUUUUGCUAUUAAUAGUAAUUAGAAUGUAGUAAGUGGUUUAGUAAAAGCUAUUUGGAGGCCACAUUUUCUAGGGAAUUCUUGUGGUUUUGCAGUAUCAUUAUUAAUGGACUGAAUUGCAAAUAAAUUCGAAUUUGAUUAAUAUUCAGCAACCUGAAGUUUGUGAA